rnacentral:tRNA from 1 species
UAGCUCAGUCGGUUGAGCAUGGUGCUGAUAAUGCCAGGGUCGCGGGUUCGAUCCCCGU